rnacentral:rRNA from 1 species
UACGGGGGGGCAAGCGUUGUUCGGAAUUACUGGGCGUAAAGGGCUCGUAGGCGGCCAACUAAGUCAGACGUGAAAUCCCUCGGCUUAACCGGGAACUGCGUCUGAUACUGGAUGGCUUGAGAUUGGGAGAGGGAUGCGGAAUUCCAGGUGUAGCGGUGAAAUGCGUAGAUAUCUGGAGGAACACCGGUGGCGAAGGCGGCAUCCUGGACCAACACUGACGCUGAGGAGCGAAAGCCAGGGGAGCAAACGGG